rnacentral:snRNA from 1 species
UUGUGGCUACAGAAAUACUAAAAUUGUAAUGAUACAGAGAUUAGCACAACUUCUGUGUGAGGAUGACACACAAAUUUGUUAUGUGUUUCAUAUUUGG